rnacentral:lncRNA from 1 species
GGUCAUCAAUCUGUACAUUGCCUGAGAGCAGCCGUGUAUGCUCUGGAAGGGACAAGACCAGGUACCUGUCGGGGGAUGCGGCCGUGGUACCAGGCAUGGCUGCGCAGGUCCUCGCUGCUCAGGAGCAGCUCCUCCUCCAGCUCCUUCUUCAGUUUCUCGGGGGUCCUGUCCAUGAUGUGCCUCUCCUUGGAGAACUGCAACACAGAGUCAACCAUGAGCUCACCCUGCCCAGGCCACACCAGGCCAUGCCAGCUGGAGGUGACCGCCUGCUUCACUAAUCCAACCAGUUAUGCUACAGCCUGCAUUCAGGGAGAUGUGGCCACAGGACUCAGUUCUGACCAAGGAGCUGAGAUGUGAUGGCUGGAGACUCAACACCAUUCUGGACGGUGAGUGGGGAGCCACACCAAGGAAUUGGCUGGGUGGAAGGUCUGAUUGAGGCUGGGUCCCUGAUGACUGUGGGGCCAACACACCAGCCCUGGACCGCCAGCCUCCAGGUCUUCUAGGUGAUCUACCUUAUGGAAGCCUGUGAUUUGUGGGUGUUCCCGUCACUGGCAGCUGAACUAAAUCCUAACCCAUAUUGUGACCUGACCCCCAUUGAGUCACCCUGACAGGCAGUCUGCAGGCUUAGCCUAAAUCCCUUGUGCUGCACCCUGGGCCCACUUCUUGGUCUGACCUCUGAAAAUGUGGAGAUCUGAAAAUAUACAGCAGGUCUUGCACAGUUCCAUCUUCUGAACUCAAUGUGCUUUAAAGACAGGCUGGACUCAAAUCAUCCUCAAUCCCUCUGUCAGCAAGGGACAGCAGGCAUUGUGGCACCCAGAAUGAGUAACACGGCUGUGCUCUCUUAGAAAGUUGACAUUGAGUGUGAAUGGAGGACUCUGGCCCUCCAAAAAGAGCUGGCCUUGGCUGGAAGGUUCUGGCUAGGAGGAGAGGGCUAAAGCAUGCGAAGGCACAACAAUGGUGGAACUGAGCGAAGAAGAUACUCUAUCCCACUUCAGUGAAAACAUCAUGAGGCUUGAAGCAUGGAAGUUGCCUCACCCCCGUGUUUCCUGCCAGGUGGAACAAAGUGCUGAGAGAAUCAAACCAGCAAGCAAAGAGAAGAGGAGCAAGAGAUGGAAAGUGACCUCUAGCAUGCACAUCCCUAAGCCCCAGCUGAUUAUAUCAGCCGGCAAACUCCUCUUGUGACCUAGGCUAGUAUGAGUGGAAUCCCUGUCACUUGUGACCAAAGCAGUCCUGACCCAGAAACGCAGGGACUGGCUGAGGGCAGCCCAACAUUGGUGGCUGAGGGUUUAGACCAUCACACUCCAGAAAGUCAGAGUCACGGAAAAUCUUUGCCCAGGAAGGCAACAGGUAUAUAAAAAGAUACUUUUAGAGAGAUCUGGCUGCAGUGAGAGCAAUGGGCUGGAUGGGGCCAGGGCUGGAGGCACAGGUCAGAGUCUUUUGAAAUGUGCUGACAACGCCCAGAUCUCCAUCUCCAGCCCUUAGGGUCGGUGCCUGGUAGGGAUAUUUACUGGAAUCCGCAUUAAAGCUCAGAUGUCAAUGUCCAAUUGCAGGAACCUUCCAUGGCUCCCUGAACAAAACAUCCCUCAUGUCCUGCCUCCAUGCCUUUGUCUUGUGGUCCAGCAGACAGUGACACAUCUGUAGAGGUGUCUUGCUCUGUCUCCCAGGCUGGAGUGCAGUGGCGCAUUCAUAGCUCAAGUGAUCCUCCCGCCUCAGCCUCCCAGGUAGCCAGGACUACAGGUCUGCACCACCACACCCGGCCAUUGGUCUAAUUUCUAAGCAAGGCCAGUGUCUUCCAAUGAGCUCAGGGUGGGAAACCCCACGGGGGUUGGGCUGUGAACUGUACCAGGUGGCCCAAGCUGGGGGUCCAAAAAGACAGAUCCACAUCUCAAAUCCACUGAACUCUGGGAAUCCCUGUGAUGACCUGAGACCUGCAUCAUCACUGCCCCCAGCUGGCACUUGGGUUAAAAGAAACAAUGCAAGUGAAAUAUUAAUCGCUGAGUUCAGCAGCAAGAUUACACUCAGUAAUAGUAGUGCUUUCUUAACAUCUUUAAAGAAUGAAAAGAACAAAGACUGCCCUGGCUAAGGCAGACCCUAAUAAAAGAGUUUGAAAACCGGCGUAUUGAGAAGAAAGAAGCAGAACAUCAUAACCCUGCUGCAGCC